AGAGAUCCUUUUGGCUGACCAAAUGAGAGAAAGACAACAACCAACCUCAUUUUUUUUCACAUCCAUGAGCUUAGUAUGUUACUACUAUUUUAUUUGAUGUUCUCUGGAAUUUACUAACUACUUUCUCUUCUUAAUAUACUUCUUGAAGCCAGUUGUGUCACUAGUCAUAACAAAACCAUUUUUUGAUUUUCUCUGAACAUAGAAUUUUAUCAAGAUGACAGAAAAUCAAACUUUUCGAGUGUCCUUAUUUGACAAGCAUAUCGAAACAGCAUGGAGGAACUACAGGUUCCUCCAUUUCCCAAUAAAUACUGGAGGUAAUGAGAAGUCUACACAUGGAAAUCACUGGACCUUGCUUGUCCUGGACAAACAAGACAAUUUAUGGAGGUUCUACAACUCACUAAGGCCAAGGAGAGAUGAUGCAGAAGACAAAUAUGUCAAAGAUGCAAAAGAAUUGCAAGAUUACGUGGAGAAUUUUUUGAAAGCUUGCCUUGAAAGAGUCGCUCAAUCACAACCCCCUUUCAAAUUAAUAAACUCACAAAACACAAGUUACGACUUUGAGUAUGU